rnacentral:tRNA from 1 species
UACCCCAAAGUGCCCUGCAUUUGCUCUUUGAACAAAGUUCUGUUUGUUGAUGGACUGACCGGCUUACUGACGUAAAGAUGGGGAGCAAACAGAGGGACAGAUCAAGGCCCUUCUUUCGCGCUUGGAGGAAGCUGGGGCGAGUGCUCUGGACGCCAGCUCCUGCUCGGGAGCGAGUCUGGAAACCGCGGCAGCGUCUUCGCGGCAGGCUCCGGAUCCGGGAGGUUCUGGAUCCGCCCUCCAUCUAUUGGAUGGCUCCCAGGUCAAUUGUUAGAAAGAGGCAUAUGUUCAUCUCGGCUUCUGGAGUGUCUCCGGAGCAGUUGCUCAACAGCCAGCCCCCUCCCCCAUCCGGACCAUUGAAGGGCAGAAAAAGGAGCGCCCUCCGCCACGUUUCUCUACGCCUACAUGCCAGAAAGGGUCUCCCCACUGGUGACUUCCUGUCAUCUCUGCUGUCUACCUCCUGGGGAGCAGGAUAGAGAAGAGUUUCGAGCACUCAGCUUUGGAGCACAAAAGCCACCCCUUUCCUUUGGGGGUAGCUGGAAGGGGAGGUUAGUUGCAGAGGCCGGGAGAGAGCAAAGGAGACAUUUGCAUUUCUCUGCAAAUAUGCCCUGGAUCACUGACUUCCCAGUCGUCUCCAGCCGAGCUCAGAGCUCUCCGCUGAACUCUUAUCUUCAACUUGGCAACUAGACUGCGAGCUCGCAUGCGGAGGAGAGGACAGGGAUAAUCACCCAGCAAGAACUUUCUGUGCGCCAGCAUUGGACCUGGCCUGUUCCCAUCCAUUAUCUCAUUUAAUUCCCACGCCCUGUGAGGUAGGGUUUACCAAAGGUGAGAAGGAGUCUCAGAGAUUUGCCCAAGUUCACACAGCCAGGAGGCCAGGCAUUUGAAUCCAGGUUAAGCUAACUGCAGAAUCCUCACCUUCACCCUUGCGCCUUGCUGUUUGGCAAGGUAAAGGGACAUCUAAAAUGUGGUCAAGAGUACAGGUUCAGGGGCCAGUCCACCUGGGUUUAAAUCCCUGCUCUGCUAUUUACUAACUCUGUAAUGAAGACCAAUAGCUUCAUUCUUUUUUUUUAAAAUUUUUUCCAUUUAUUUUUAUUAGUUGGAGGCUAAUUACUUUACAAGCUUCAUUCUUCAGGCCUCAGUUUUCCUCAUCUGUUAAAUGGGGAUUAUAAUGGUAGCAACUAUGACGGCUCAGAGAAGGCAGUGGCACCCCACUCCAGUACUCUUGCCUGGAAAAUCCCAUGGACGGAGGAGCCUGGUAGGCUGCAGUCCAUGGGCUCGCUAAGAGUCAGACACGACUGAGCAACUUCAUUUUCACUUUUCACUUUCAUGCAUUGGAAAAGGAAAUGGCAACCCACUCCAGUGUUCUUGCCUGGAGAAUCCCAGGGACAGGGGAGCCUGGUGGGCUGCCGUCUAUGGGGUCGCACAGUCGGACACGACUGAAGUGACUUAGCAGCAGCAGCAGUAUGAGGGCUGUUGCAAGGAUCAACGGAAAAGCUUAAGUUGAUGCCUGCUAUGUAGUAAGUUGUCCACAAAUGCUGUACCUUCUGAUUCUUUUCCUUUUGCCUCCUUGUCCUGCCACAUCUUACAUACUUCAGGUCUCCUAGUCCUGCCUCAGUUUACAUACUUCAGGUCCAAUAAUACUUGAUGACUGAUUAAUUUAAAAACCAGGCUGUGAGGGGAUGAAGGAGGUCUAUAAACACAGGCAGGGAAGAAGAGGAAAAUGCAGAUUUGUCUUCAGAAUCCCAUUUUCCAGAACCAAGGGCUAUCUGAGCCUUAUGACAGGAGUAAAUUGAGGACCAAUAAAAGAUGAUGACUUUUUACAGGACAGUCGGUAUGCAUAGAGUGGUCUCUAGAAACAUAUAUUCAAUAAGUGUGUAGAAAAGUUAAAAAGCACAUGUUACCAUGUAGCUUGCAGGAUCUCAGUUCCUCGACCAAGGAUGGAACCCGGGCCACAGCAGUGAAAGGCUGGACUCCUAACCACUAGGCAACCAGGGGACUCCCCAGAAAGCAAAAGUCUGUGUUCAAGAAUGUUUUGAGCAGAAUUGUUUGUGAUAAUGAAAAAUGGAAAGCAAUUUAAAUGUCCAUGGUGAGAAAGCAUCCUUCAGUACCUUAACACUAAAAAAAAAAUCCUGAUUUCAAAAACUUUUAUUCAUGGGAAAAUGUUCACAAAAAUAUUAAAUAAAAAAACACUGGGUACAAAGUUGCAUAAAUAUGAUGCCAAGUUGCAAAGGGCAUGAAGAGCAGAAAAUUAAAUAUUCACUAUGUUUCCAACCAUGUAUAAAUAUGGGCAAUGAAGCAAUGGUCAGGAAAACAACCAACAGUGUCAGUGGGGUGGUAGGAUUCUGAGCUAUUUUCCCCCCUCUUUUCUCUGUUCUGCAAUAUGUUUAUAUUAUUCUUAUAAUUAAAUAUAAGUUUAUAGUUAAUGGACUGCAUAAACAGUGUGCUUCUACUAUUGUUAAAAUUAUUUGUGCAUAGAAAAAAUAUUAGAAGAAAAUAUACCAAAAUGAGGACUUCCCUGGAGGUCCAGUGGUUAAGAUUCUGUGCUUCCAAUGCAGGGGACAUGGGUUUGAUCCCUGUCUGGGGACUAAAAUCCCAUGCACUGCAGGGCAAGGCCCCCCAAAAAGUAUCUAAAGGGAGAAAAAACUAGAAACAAAAACAAAAUACCAAAUUGUUAGCAGUGAUUAUAAUUGAAUGGUAGGAUUAUGCAUGAUAUUUUUAAAAUUUUUUUCUGCCAUAAGAUUAUAUUAUUUUCUCCCAUAACUUGAAAAUCUUCAUAAUUUUAAAAGUGCAUAAUCAGUACAAUCUCACUGGUGUUAAAAGUAUGGCUGUAAAUUGAAAAAAAUGGGAAGGAAAUAUAUUAAAAUAUUAAGUUUUUAUAUUAAGUGGUAAAGGAUUAUGGGUAAUUUCUCCUUUUUUCUUGAGUUUUCUGUAAUGUGAUUUUAUUGCUUUUAUAAUUAAAAUAAAAUAAAUAUGUACAAAUGGCAUAGGAUCCGAUUUUUGUUAAAAAUGUAUAUAUAUAUGUGUGUGUAUGUGCAGGUGCAUUAAGUAAUAAUAAAAUACUCCAAAAUGUGGUUGUCUCUGGGUGAUGGGAUUAUGGGUGAUUUAUGUUUUCUCUCUCUUUCUUUGAAAACUAUACUAUACUGAAGUAUAGUUAAUUUACAGUGUGUUGGUUUCAGGCACACUGUUUUCUCUUUUAUACAUGA